rnacentral:lncRNA from 1 species
AUUGGAAAUAAUAACUACCUACACCAAUUCCAUCUUGUGUUCUUUGCUACUUAUGAACUUUGGAGUGAUUCUUUGUUGCACGUUGAGGGAUGAUGAUAUGAUUCGAUUAUGUUAGCAUUGUUGAGAGAUUGCACUAGUGAAAGUAUGAAACCUAGGCAUUAUUUCCAAGCAUUGCUAUACCAUUUUGCUAGGUUUUUACUGCUUGUUACCUUGUCGUUUUUAUAUCUUCAGAUUACAAAAACCUAUAUAUACCAUCCAUAUUGCACUUGUAUCACCAUCUCUUCGCCGAACUAGUGCACCUAUACAAUUUACCACUGUAUUGGGUGUGUUGGGCACACAAGAGAUUUAUUGUAUUUGAUUGCAAGGUUUUUUGAGAGAUACCAUCUACAUCCUACACCUCCCACAGAUUGAUAAACCUUAGGUCAUUUACUUGAGGGAAAAUUGAUAUUGUCCUACAAAUUUUGCGCUUGGAGGCCCAAUAGAGUCUACAAGAAGGAAAUUGUGUAGUAAACAUGAGUGUCUUCCUUGAAUAUUACCUCGGGGGCGCCUUGGGAAACCCCAAGUAUAGUGUUUUACCACUCCUUAUUUUCCUACUAUCGGUAUCUCACCCAAGACUUGAGAACUUCAAUAACACAAAACUUAACGGAACUUCAUGAGAUGGGUUAGUAUAAUAAGAAU